rnacentral:pre_miRNA from 1 species
UGGGUCUUUGCGGGCGAGGUGAGAGGUUCGUGCGUUCAACUGGCCUACAAAGUCCCAGU